AGCAGCCGCGGUAAUUCCAGCUCCAAUAGCGUAUAUUAAAGUUGUUGCAGUUAAAAGCUCGUAGUUGAAUUUCGGGGUUAGUAGGUUGGUCAUGCCUCUGGUAUGUACUGGUCUCACUGAUUCCUCCUUCCUGAUGAAUCUUAAUGCCAUUAAUUUGGUGUUUUGGGGAAUUUGGACUGUUACUUUAGAAAAAUUAGAGUGUUUAAAGCAAGCUAUUUUUGCUUGAAUACAUUAGCAUGGAAUAAUAAAAUAGGACGGCAUGGUUCUAUUUUGUUGGUUUCUAGGACCACCGUAAUGAUUUAAU
rnacentral:misc_RNA from 1 species